rnacentral:rRNA from 1 species
GAUGAACGCUGGCGGCGUGCCUAAUACAUGCAAGUCGAGCGAACAGACGAGGAGCUUGCUCCUCUGACGUUAGCGGCGGACGGGUGAGUAACACGUGGAUAACCUACCUAUAAGACUGGGAUAACUUCGGGAAACCGGAGCUAAUACCGGAUAAUAUAUUGAACCGCAUGGUUCAAUAGUGAAAGACGGCUUUGCUGUCACUCAUAGAUGGAUCCGCGCCGCAUUAGCUAGUUGGUAAGGUAACGGCUUACCAAGGCGACGAUGCGUAGCCGACCUGAGAGGGGGAUAGGCCACACUAGAUCUGAGACACGGUCCAGACGCCUGCGGGACGCAGCAGUAGGGAAUCUGCCGCAGUGGGCGAAAGCCUGACGGAGCAACACCGCGUGAGUGAUGAAGAUCUUCGGAUCGUAAAGCUCUGUUAUUAGGGAAGAACAAAUGUGUAAGUAACUAUGCACGUCUUGACGGUACCUAAUCAGAAAGCCACGGCUAACUACGUG